AGGGGCUCCAUGCCCAGACACGGGGAGGUGUGUACGAGGGAGAUGUGAGACGCCUGUGGGGACAGGCUGUGUGUGUGAGAUCCUCGCUACGCGAUGCACCCGGCCCGGGCCACUAGGAGGUUCGGGUGGGCGUGGGCCAGGUGUGCGCAGCCCUCCGUGGAGCGUGUGGACGCGUGUGUCAGUUCUCGGUGGCCAGUGUCACUCGGGGGGAAGUGCAUAUGUAGGCUGGCGUGCAUGUGAGUACAAAGCGGCCGAGGAGUGUGUGUUCACCACGGCCCUCCGUCGGGGUCUUUCUCCGAGGAAGGAGUGAGUAUGUGAGGAGGACCUCGCUGUGACCGGCGG
rnacentral:lncRNA from 1 species